rnacentral:lncRNA from 1 species
UACCUCGCGUGACUGAAGCAUCUCAUUAUAUCUAAUUUGGUUUUACUGCUAAUUUUGUCAUACGUGGUUGAGACUGUCGGAGGAGGCCUGGGUUUGGGCCUGUUUAGCCAUGGACCUUUCGUUCUUGUGAUGUUCUCAUGUGCAGAAACAAUCAUUCAUUUGUUAGUCCGAUACAGGAGAUGACUAAUGGGCAGUUGAUGUAAGAUGAUGGAGGCGCCCCUGCUUCAAGAUUUGGACUUGUCGGUAAAAGCAAACUGAAGUGCCAGCUUGGUGAUGUCAGAGAAUCUUGAAAAUGAAGAAGGUGAAGCAAUCGCCAAACACGCCAUCAUUAUUAUUCAUACAGCUGAAAGAGAACCAACUUCGAAUAUUCCCAAAAAAAAAAAAAAAAAAUGGUGCUUAUUUCCUACUCAAUGCUAUCCGUUCUGUGCUCCUCCAUGCCAUGCCAUGGUCUAUUCCAAGUAUUGUGGAACUACAGCGAUAUUCUGACUAAAGACUAAACUUUUAUUUUACCUCGUCACCCCAACAUCUCCAACAUAAUCAUGCAUUCUGCAACGGGUAAGCAUUCUUUGUCGUUUUUUUUUUUUUGGCCUUUUUGGCGGAUAAGAAAUAACCCCAUCCAUUUAUCUUCCAGAUAAUUAGCAGCUAAGGAAAUGACACUUUUGCAUGAACAAUGAUUGAAAAAAAUGGUCCACCUACCUUGUAACGGACUAGAACAAGCAAUUUGGACUGCUACUAUUAUUGCAAAUCAUAGACCCCGGCCUCGUCUGUCUAAUUGCCAUCUCUCGUGUCGUGCCGUAAUUCAUUGGCACAUGUUCACGGCAUUCUCAAUUUUGCCUAUACAAAGAUUGCGUGAUGCAGAUUCGGGUUUUUUGUGCUACCAGAACACUACUAUUUGGAUUUGCCGUUUCAGUGUUGAACGCUGGCCGGCCGUGUAUCACAGGUAGAGGUGCCAAUAAGAGUUGAAUUAUGUUGACCCGCCCGCUAAUAAGUUGAUUUGGAUAUGCAAUGAAUUUUAAAUGGGUCAUCCAAUCAAAUUCAUUUAAUUGAUGGGUAUUGGAUUGACUCGGCUCAAUCAUUUAUACUGGUUUUAAAAAAAUAUUUAUAUAUUUAAACUCAAAUUUGAAUGGGUAUUAAGUAAAUAAAUUUGAAUUUUCAAUCAAUCUAAUAACAAUAAAAUGUUGUUAUUUAUUGUCGAACGAGAUGCAAAAAAAUUUAAAAAAAUAAGUAGAAUUUGAAGUAAAUCACAAAUGAAUUAUUUAUAAAUACACACCUAUACUUAUUUAUUAAAUCAGUAUGAAUGAGUUGAUCCAAUUAUGAUUCAUCCAAACUCGUCCCAACCACCUAUUUUUACACCAUUAAUUAAUCAUAAAAUUAUUCAUAGUCAGUCGAUACUCAUUAUUGUUGUGACAGUUAGACAAGUGGCUCUUUUAUUUGUCUUGCAUUGCUCGUUUUGCCCGCAUAGGUAACGGUACAAUCAAAUAUGAGGAUAAGGAUAAACAAACCAAAAAAAUAGAACAACAGAGCCCAAAGGAUUUCCGUUUUAUUUGUCUUAAUUAAUGUUUUCAUCGGUUGCGAGGAAAAGGACGACGGUAGAAGAUCUUCCGGCCGUAACUCGUGUGAGGAUAUUAAUUUAAUAAGCUGACCUCUCUGAAAGUAGGAAACAUCCCACUUUAUUCUUCCUUCUUCACUCUGUGUCGUCUGUUUCUAAUGGACCUUCCAAGCAAAUAUUCUUCCUAAUAAUCCCGUUCCUUUCCCUUUUUAAUCACUAAUUAAUGUCUGUUUCAUGCAUAACUAUGAUCAGAAUAGCUCUCAAUUCUUAUCGCUCUACUUCAGCUUCUCAUUUAAAUGUUUUAAUUUGUAAUUGCUAUUCUCCUCAAGCUCUUUAAGUAAAAUUGAAGAGCCCUAAGUAGGGCAAAAAUUAAUUAACGUGGAAAAGCCUUUUGCUUGUUUGGAGACAUGGUUUCUACUUCGUGAUUCAGCAAAUGAAAAAAAAAAUAUAUAUAUAUAUAUAUAAAAUACUAUCAUAAAUGUUUUAGAUAAAUUUUCACAAAAGAGUUACACGGUCAAUCUAAACAAGUGAUAAGCAAUGACUCACUCCUUGUGAGCCGAAUAUGUUCAAGCAUAUGCCUUGAUAAUAGCAUGCUUAAUACAAACUAAUCAUAACAAUUUUUUGAUUGGUCAUCACAGUCUACAAUCGUAUUCAUUAUCAAAUUUUAUAUAAAUAUCAACAAAUUUGACAAGUAAAGAUCAUGACAAGUAAAACUAUUAAGAUUACCCAAUAUCCAGACAGGAAAUGACAAGUCUACAGUCAUAUUCAAUUCAAUAAUGAUAAACAACUAAUGAAAAAAAAUACUCUACAAACUCGGCUUUUCGCAUAGGAUAUUCACUUUUUGACACACAAGAUACUAAAAAUAACUUACUAUAGUUUAGCUUGCACCGAAAGGGAUGCGAAGGAAUGGAGAUGCUGCGACGAGAGCACUCUACCCAUGUUUGGACUUUGAAGCAAAUUCCCACAUAUAUGCGUGCGUUGUUGUGAAGAACUCCAAAAGCCUAGGGGCAGAAAUAGAAGAAAAACUUGACUGAAGAGGGUUUAUUCCUUUUCAAAGGUCUUGUAGUGGUGUCACCAGCUUAAGCAUAUACCACAAAUGGAUCCGAAUCUUCUGCUGUGAAUGCCAAAAAAGUCAGAAAAAGAAGAAAAAUACAAAAAUAAAUUGGAAUAUUCUUCUUGCAGUUAAUGUUUGAAAUUUGAUGCCAUCAAUAGGGGAGGAAAGGACCACCCGCUGAACAAGACUUAAUCCCGAAUUUACCCU